rnacentral:lncRNA from 1 species
AUUUGUGUGUGAAAUACAAAUCUAGGAAAGAAAACGCAAAUACCUCAAGAGGAAAGAUUUCUAAAAGGGACUGCUGCAAAAACAAAACUCAACUGUCCAGGAAGAACAGAGGACUGGAGUCUAUUUCACGUGUGCCCAAGCGGACUGACGUGUUGAUCCCAGGGCUGUAAGAGUUCUUUUUGAAAAGCUCCUACCUUGUCACUGCUGAAGAAAACUGGAACAUGAAGAUGAUUGUGGCCAGGGAAGGGUCAGGCCAGGUCCUGAGUGCAAGAUGACCCAAAAGGAGACAGAAAACAAGAGGCAUUACGAAACAAAUUCACUGAGAGGGCAGGGAGCAUCCUCUCAGAUGCUCAAUCACUGGACUCAGAUUACCCAGCUGGCUGUUCUGAGAACCCAAACACACUGGCUUCUUCCCCCUCUGUGAACCAUGGAGAGUUCAACUACCCUGAGCAGAUUAAGAUAAGUUACUUAAGCCAAUUUGGCUUUACCUUCUGUUUCUAGCAGUCAAAAGAACCUGCAUACAAAUGUCAACCCCAGCUGACUGAUAGCAACUGCCUGAACUGUAUUCACACAAACUCUGGGACUCAUGACUCGUGAGGAAGAUGCCCACAAAAAAGGCCUGGGAAUGCUGUUGCACCCAACCUCUGCCCAGGGAUGGAGGGCUGUGCCUGCCCACUUGAGGAAACAGAAGGCAAACCAUCCUUGGAAAACUGAGACAGCCUCAAAGGAGGUUAAGUCCUGGACUGGAGUGGGUCACAAUGUUUCAUUCUUCCUGUCACCUAUUCUGGUCUCUGUUACACCAUGGAGACAAGGAAAACAAGACUUGGAAAGGCUGGACGACUUGCUCUGGACCUUGCAGGGUUUUGCACAACCAUCAACCUGCAACUGAAACCCAGAGAGGAGGAAACGGAUUUGCCCAACGGAUAGGGUGUCCACCUACCACAUGGGAGGUCCAGGGUUCAAACCCAGGGCCUCCUGACCUGUGUGAUGAGCUGGCCCACCCACGGUGCUGAUGCACGCAAGGAGUGCUGUGCCACGCAGGGGUGACCCCCACAUAGGGAACCCCACGCACAAGGAGUGCGCCCCGUAAGGAAAGCUGCCCAGCCAUGAAAAAAGUGCAGCCUGCCCAGGAAUGGCGCCACACACACAGAAAGCUGAUGCAGCAAGAUGACGUAACAAAGCAAGACACAGAUUCCGGGUGCCGCUGAUACAAGUGGACACAGAAGAACACACAGUGAAUGGACACAGAGAGCAGACAACUGGGG